UCCAAUAAAUGUCUCACAC
rnacentral:snRNA from 1 species